AAAGAGUCGAAACACAAAUUAGAAAUCUCUGUUACAAAGAGGGUUCCCGGAUGACUUGCCUCUGCAUGGGCUUUAAGUCUACAACAGAGUGGAUAUGCCUCCUUUGCUUCUAUGUCUGCAGAAGACAAGAGGACAGAAAACUUUAUGUUUAACAAACAUGGGCAAGAAAACAAACCAAUUAUGCAAACAGAAGUAAAGAAUAUGAAUAAUUUUUGAUCCAACAGAACACCACAUUCACAAGUUUGGCUUUGGGAAAUAGCAAGUCUCAAUUAAAUAAUUCUUAUUAAUUCUUUCAAUGUGUAACCAAAAGCAAGUCAUAUUGAAAGAAAAGUGGUGAAGUCUUUUCUGAUAUUAGACCUGGUAGCUAGAGGAAACUAAACACAACUCACAGAAAUAAGAGAUUCUGAGGAGACAUCACCAUUAUGAUCUGAUUUAUUUUUACAGGUUCUCAGAUCUCAUUUUAUUUUGUUUUUAUUAUUGUAUUAAACAUUUCUCCAUAGACAGUCUUUGCUCCCCCAUCUGCCAAAGUUUUGAUUCACAAGGACAUUUCUGCUGCAGUUUGUAUUUCCAAGACCCAAGGAAAGUUCUUGAAAACCUUAAAAGGACCAAAAGAAUCUCUCUACAAGUUGAGAUCUUUAGAAUCAUCUCUGAAGCAUCAGGCUCUACUGUUGGAAAUCAAAGAACCUCUGAAUCUGCAGGGCUUCCCACAGCUUCAAUCUUUUUUCUUUCUCUGCUGUAAAGUCCUCUGGGAAGAAGGUAGCC
rnacentral:lncRNA from 10 species